rnacentral:rRNA from 1 species
GUCUAUGGCCAUGCCACCUUGAAUGUGCCCGAUCUUGUUCGAUCUCGGAAGCUAAGCAGGGUCAGGCUUAGCUUGGAUGGGAGACCACCUAGAAAUACCAGGCGCUAUAGGCA